rnacentral:rRNA from 1 species
CUACGGGAUGCUCCAGUGAGGAAUAUUGCACAAUGGGGGGAACCCUGAUGCAGCAACGCCGCGUGGAGGAUGACGCAUUUCGGUGUGUAAACUCCUUUUAUAUGUCAAGAAAGUGACGGUAGCAUAUGAAUAAGCACCGGCUAACUCCGUGCCAGCAGCCGCGGUAAUACGGAGGGUGCAAGCGUUACUCGGAAUCACUGGGUGUAAAGGACGCGUAGGCGGGUUGGAAAGUCAGGUGUGAAAUCCUACAGCUUAACUGUAGAACUGCACUUGAAACUUCUAAUCUAGAGUAUGGGAGGGGGAGAUGGAAUUAGUGGUGUAGGGGUAAAAUCCGUAGAUAUCACUAGGAAUACCUAAAGCGAAGGCGAUCUCCUGGAACAUUACUGACGCUAAGGCGUGAAAGCGUGGGGAGCAAACAGGAUUAGAUACCCCAGUAGUC